AUUGAACGCUGGCGGCAGGCCUAACACAUGCAAGUCGAAUGGUAACAGGAAACAGCUUGCUGUUUCGCUGACGAGUGGCGGACGGGUGAGUAAUGUCUGGGAAACUGCCUGAUGGAGGGGGAUAACUACUGGAAACGGUAGCUAAUACCGCAUAACGUCGCAAGACCAAAGAGGGGGACCUUCGGGCCUCUUGCCAUCAGAUGCGCCCAGAUGGGAUUAGCUAGUAGGUGGGGUAACGGCUCACCUAGGCGACGAUCCCUAGCUGGUCUGAGAGGAUGACCAGCCACACUGGAACUGAGACACGGUCCAGACUCCUACGGGAGGCAGCAGUGGGGAAUAUUGCACAAUGGGCGCAAGCCUGAUGCAGCCAUGCCGCGUGUAUGAAGAAGGCCUUCGGGUUGUAAAGUACUUUCAGCGGGGAGGAAGGGAGUAAAGUUAAUACCUUUUCUCAUUGACGUUACCCGCAGAAGAAGCACCGGCUAACUCCGUG
rnacentral:rRNA from 1 species